rnacentral:rRNA from 1 species
GACGAACGCUGGCGGCGUGCCUAAUACAUGCAAGUCGAACGCAGUUGCGAACGGGUGAGUAACGCGUAGGUAGCUGCCUCAUAGCGGGGGAUAACUAUUGGAAACGAUAGCUAAUACCGCAUACUGUGAGAUGGACCUGCGUUGCAUUUGGUAGUUGGGGAGGUAACGGCUCACCAAGGCCACGAUGCAUAGCCGACCUGAGAGGGUGGUCGGCAAAAAUGGGACUGGGAAAAGGCCCAGAAUCCUACGGGAGGCAGGAGGAGGGAAUCUUCGGCAAAGGAGGGAAGGCUGGACGAGGAACGGCGGGGGGGGUGAGGAGGUUUUGGGGUCGUAAAGCUCUGUUGUUAGGGGAGCGGUAACUAACGAGAAAGGGACGGCUAACUACGUGCCAGCAGCCGCGGUAAUAC